rnacentral:rRNA from 1 species
UACGGAGGGGGCUAGCGUUGUUCGGAAUUACUGGGCGUAAAGCGCGCGUAGGCGGACCUGCAAGUCGGGGGUGAAAGCCCGGGGCUCAACCUCGGAACUGCCCUCGAUACUGCGGGUCUCGAGUCCGGGAGAGGUGAGUGGAAUUCCUAGUGUAGAGGUGAAAUUCGUAGAUAUCUGGAGGAACACCGGUGGCGAAGGCGGCAUCCUGGACCAACACUGACGCUGAGGAGCGAAAGCCAGGGGAGCAAACGGG